UACGUAGGGGGCAAGCGUUGUCCGGAAUCAUUGGGCGUAAAGGGCGCGUAGGUGGUUAGGUAAGCCCUCCGGGAAAUCUUCAGGCUUAACCUGAAAAGGUCGGGGGGGACUGCCUAGCUAGAGGGCGGGAGAGGAGCGCGGAAUUCCCGGUGUAGCGGUGAAAUGCGUAGAGAUCGGGAGGAAGGCCGGUGGCGAAGGCGGCGCUCUGGAACGUUUCUGACACUGAGGCUCGAAAGCGUGGGGAGCAAACAGG
rnacentral:rRNA from 1 species